rnacentral:rRNA from 1 species
AGCUCGUAGCUGAAUCCGGGGGAGAGGCCGGGGGGUUAUUGCUGCGUGUAAAAGGGGUCAAACCCUCCAUAAGCGAUCGGCAUGUCACAACCCGCGCCACGACCCAAACAGUCGGUAGACCCAGGGUGCUCUUAACUGAGUGGUCUGCGGUGGCCGGCCAGUUUACUUUGAAAAAAUUAGAGUGCUCAGAGCAGGCCGGUAGAGCCUAGAUACUUCAGCAUGGAAUAAUGGAACAGGACUUCGGUCCUCUUCAGUUGGUCUUCGGGACGCGAGGUAAUGACCGAUAGGGACAGACGGGGGCAUUCGUAUUGUGGGG